CACUACUUCCAUCAACUGAUUCUUCAUCAUCAUCUGAUUUGCUCUGACUUCAAUGAUUGGAACAAUUCCACUUGCAUUUAGUUGAGCUCACUUGAGAGGUCAGAACUGAAUUUUCACAUUGACUUCCUCUUUGCUCUGCAGGUUUGCACCAUUGUAUAUGAUUAUAGUUAGAUUCAUGUGUGCUGCACCAGUAAGAUCCGCUUUGCUCAUCAUGGUGUAGUAGAUGCUGCAUGAUUUCAAGAGAAGAUCUUCUUGAAGACAAAACCAUCAGAUGAGGACAUUGUUCUGUGUAGAAGAAUCAGAAAACUGUCAC
rnacentral:sRNA from 2 species